ACGAGAGGCCCAAACGUUAUUCGGAAUCACUGGGCUUAAAGAGUUCGUAGGCGGUCUGGAAAGUUGGGUGUGAAAUCCCUCGGCCUAACCGAGGAACUGCGCUCAAAACUACCAGACUUGAGGAAGAUAGAGGUAAGCGGAACUGAUGGUGGAGCGGUGAAAUGCGUUGAUAUCAUCAGGAACACCGGAGGCGAAGGCGGCUUACUGGGUCUUUUCUGACGCUGAGGAACGAGAGCUAGGGGAGCGAACGGGA
rnacentral:rRNA from 1 species